rnacentral:rRNA from 1 species
GAUGAACGCUAGCGGCAGGCCUAACACAUGCAAGUCGAGGGAGAAGCCCUUUCGGGGGCAGAAACCGGCGCACGGGUGCGUAACGCGUAUGCAACCUACCUUUCACAGGGGGAUAGCCCGAAGAAAUUUGGAUUAAUACCCCAUAAUAUUAUUGGAUGGCAUCAUUUGAUAAUUAAAACUGCGGUGGUGAACUAUGGGCAUGCGUCCUAUUAGCUAGUUGGAGUGGUAACGGCACCCCAAGGCUACGAUAGGUAGGGGUCCUGAGAGGGAGAUCCCCCACACUGGUACUGAGACAGGGACCAGACUCCUACGGGAGGCAGCAGUGAGGAAUAUUGGUCAAUGGUCGGAAGACUGAACCAGCCAUGCCGCGUGCAGGAAGAAUGCCUUAUGGGUUGUAAACUGCUUUUAUAUGGGAAGAAUAAGGCGUACGUGUACGUUGAUGACGGUACCAUAUGAAUAAGCAUCGGCUAACUCCGUG